rnacentral:rRNA from 1 species
GGAGGAUUUAGUAGUAAACUAAGAAUAGAGUGCUUAGUUGAAUUAGGCCAUGAAGCACGCACACACCGCCCGUCGCUCUCCUCAAAUAUAUUUAAGAAUUAUUUAACUAAAUAUUCUAACUCUUAUAUAGAGGGGAUAAGUCGUAACAUGGUAAGUGUACUGGAAGGUGCACUUGGAUAAAU